rnacentral:lncRNA from 1 species
GGUCAUAUUUCUCUGCUUCUUUGCACGCCUGAUAAUUUUUAACUUGAUAUCUACAUUGUGAAUUUCACCUUGUUUUUAUAGAUACCCGGUCUUGCUAUCUUUCCCAAGCUGUUCUUGAUCUCCUGGCUUCAAGUGAUCCUUGACCUCCCAAAGUGCUGGGAGGAUAGACAUGAGCCACUGUGCCUGACCCAAGUGGAAUAAACUCUAAUGUUAAGUGGGGGAAGUCAAGAUGGCUAACCAGGCACAGCCAGGUGGAUCAUUUCUUACCAAAAGGAUGAGACUUCAGGAAGACUGGCACAUUCUGAGCAGAUCUUUGUGGGGAAGGCAUUGAGAGUGGACAGAGCUUCAGGCACGUCUCAGCAUGCCUCCCUCUCAUGGAAGUUCCCAGGAAGCCCACCAUGUACGUGUCUGUACGUGUCUGUAGAAGAGGAGGAAAUUUUUUUCCGGGAGCCGGCUGAUUACACAAAGAACAAAGUUCUGCAAUUGUAACCCUCAAGAGAAGAGGAGGAAGAGACAAGUAUUUGGUGCUCUAAAACAAAACAAAACAAAACAAAAAACUUCCAACAUAGACAAACUCAGGAUCAGAUAGCUUCACCAGUAAGUCAUAUCAAACAUUUAAAGAAUUAACACCACUCUUCUCAAACUCUUUCAAAAGAAAUGGAAA